rnacentral:rRNA from 1 species
GACGAACGCUGGCGGCGUGCUUAACACAUGCAAGUCGAACGGAAAGGCCCUGCUUUUGUGGGGUGCUCGAGUGGCGAACGGGUGAGUAACACGUGAGUAACCUGCCCUUGACUGUGGGAUAACUUCAGGAAACUGGGGCUAAUACCGGAUAGGAUCUCCUGCUGCAUGGUGGGGGUUGGAAAGUUUCGGCGGUUGGGGCUGGACUCGCGGCUUAUCAGCUUGUUGGUGGGGUAGUGGCUUACCAAGGCUUUGACGGGUAGCCGGCCUGAGAGGGUGAACGGCGACAUUGGGACUGAGAUAGGGCCCAGACGCGUACGGGAGGCAGCGGUGGGGAGUAUUGCACAAUAGGGGGAAGCCUGUGGCAGAAACGUCGCGUGCGGGAUGACGGGCUUCGGGUUGUAAACCGCUUUCGCCUGUGACGAAGAGUGAGUGACGGUAAUGGGUAAAGAAGCACCGGCUAACUACGUG